UUCCAAAAUUAGGUGAAAUGUGAUGCUUACUGCAGUAUCAUCAAAGAGGUUGAGUAAAGAAAUUAGAAAUGCUCGUCUGUGUUGACGGUUCCCUCGGAUCAUGGAGUAUAGGUGUGAACACAACGCACUGGAUGAUUCAUCAUGUCUAAAACCUCUUACAGGAUCCUUUGGGCAGGUAUUGAUUGCCUGUUGUACCUGCUGAGGCCUAUUCAAGUAUUAAGUCACCAGACAACAUAACAGUACUUUGCAAAAUGAUAAAAUUAGAAUUACUUACAUGAAUGAACCCAGCAUAUUUUUUGUC